UUACGUGAUGACAAAAGGCCAUUGGCCUGAAUAAUCCCAGCUCUUCGAAUGCCUCACACAUACAACGCUUAGAGUGCAUACUGAGAUAACGUCCCAUCUGACCAU
rnacentral:snoRNA from 1 species